CCUACGGGAGGCAGCAGUGGGGAAUAUUGGGCAAUGGGCGCAAGCCUGACCCAGCAACGCCGCGUGAAGGAAGAAGGCUUUCGGGUUGUAAACUUCUUUUCUCAGGGACGAAGCAAGUGACGGUACCUGAGGUAUAAGCCACGGCUAACUACGUGCCAGCAGCCGCGGUAAUACGUAGGAGGCAAGCGUUAUACGGAUUUACUGGGUGUAAAGGGCGUGUUGGCGGGACUGCAAGUCAGAUGUGAAAACCACGGGGUCAACCUGUGGCCUGCAUUUGAAACUGGAGUUCUUGAGUACUGGAGAGGUAGACGGAAUUCCUAGUGUAGCGGUGAAAUGCGUAGAUAUUAGGAGGAACACCAGUGGCGAAGGCGGUCUGCUGGACAGCAACUGACGCUGAGGCGCGAAAGCGUGGGGAGCAAACAGGAUUAGAUACCCUAGUAGUC
rnacentral:rRNA from 1 species